UCUUAUGGAUGAGCAAAGAAAGUAGUUUCUUGAAAUGAAACCUACUUCUGGUGAAGAUGCUGUGAA
rnacentral:pre_miRNA from 2 species